rnacentral:rRNA from 1 species
UACGGAGGGUGCGAGCGUUGUCCGGAAUCACUGGGCGUAAAGGGCGCGUAGGUGGCGCGAGUAGUCAACGGUGAAAGCCCGGGGCUCAACCCCGGGUCGGCCGUCGAUACUCUCGUGCUUGAGCACUGUAGAGGCAGGUGGAAUUCCAGGUGUAGCGGUGGAAUGCGUAGAGAUCCGGAAGAACACCGGUGGCGAAGGCGGCCUGCUGGGCAGUAGCUGACACUGAGGCGCGACAGCGUGGGGAGCAAACAGG